rnacentral:RNase_P_RNA from 1 species
AAACAAGUCAAGAUGACCGCCCCGAUGCUUAAGGCGUCAGGGAGGAAAGUCCGAGCUUCAAAGGAUACUACAUCCCGGUAAUGCGGGACACCCUGCGAGGCUCCCUAACGAAAGUUUUGGAGCGAAGCAUGGGGAGGAUUAGAGCCACAGUGACGAAGCCCUUAACUGGGAGUGAAACGCGGCAAUCUCUGUAGGAAGCAAUGCCAAAUAGGGGGAGAGGAGCGAUCCGUUCCGUUAUAUCCUCGGGUAGGCUGCAAGAAUUCACGGCGUAAGCGGUGAAGUGAGUCGAAUGGUCAUCACCCGCAAGGGAACAUAACUCGGCUUAUUGACUUUUAUAUUA